rnacentral:rRNA from 1 species
GGGUCAGUAGGUUGGUCGUGCCACCGGUACGUACUGGUCUCAGUGAUUCCUCCUUCCUGAAGAACCGUAAUGCCAUUAAUUUGGUGUUGCGGGGAAACAGGACUGUUACUUUGAAAAAAUUAGAGUGUUUAAAGCAAGCUAACGCUUGAUUACAUUAGCAUGGAAUAAUGAAAUAGGACGAUCGAUCCUAUUUUGUUGGUUUCUAGGAUUGACGUA